GAUGAACGCUGGCGGCGUGCCUAAUACAUGCAAGUCGAGCGAACAGACGAGGAGUUUGCUCCUCUGACGUUAGCGGCGGACGGGUGAGUAGCACGUGGAUAACCUACCUAUAAGACUUAGAUAACUUCGAGAAACCGGAGCUAAUACCGGAUGAGAUAUUGAACCGCAUGGUUUUAGAGUGAAAUAUGGGUUUUGGAUCACUUAUAGAUGUAUCCGCGCCGUAGUAGGUUGUUGGUAGGGUAACGGCCUACCAAGGCGACGAUGCGUAGCCGACCUGAGCGGGUGAUCGGCCACAUUGGAGCUGAGCCACGGACACGACUCCUAAGGGAGGCAGCAGUAGGGAAUCUUCGGCAAUGGGCGAAAGCCUGACGGAGCAACGCCGCGUGAGUGAUGAAGGUCUUCGGAUCGUAAAACUCUGUUAUGAGGGAAGAACAAAUGUGUAAGUAACUAUGCACGUCUUGACGGUACCUAAUCAGAAAGCCACGGCUAACUACGUG
rnacentral:rRNA from 1 species